rnacentral:rRNA from 1 species
AAUAGAUACCCGGGUAGUCCACGCCGUAAACGAUGGGCACUAGGCGUCGGGGGGAGCGACCCUCCCGGUGCCGCAGCUAACGCUCUAAGUGCCCCGCCUGGGGAGUACGGCCGCAAGGCUGAAACUCAAAGGAAUUGACGGGGGCCCGCACAAGCGGUGGAGCACGUGGUCUAAUUCGAAGCAACGCGAAGAACCUUACCUGGGCUUGACAUGCACGGGAAAGCCGGCGGAAACGCCGGGCCUCCUUCGGGACUCGUGCACAGGUGCUGCAUGGCUGUCGUCAGCUCGUGUCGUGAGAUGUUGGGUUAAAUCCCGCAACGAGCGCAACCCCUGUCCCCUAGUUACCCAGCGGGUAAAGCCGGGAACUCUAGGGAGACUGCCGGUGUCAAACCGGGAGGAAGGUGGGGACGACGUCAAGGUCAUCAUGGCCCCUUACGGUCCAGGGGCUACACACGUGCUACAAUGGCCGGUACAGCGGGCUGCGAUACCGCGAGGUGGAGCGAAUCCCUUAAAGCGCGUCUCGGUUCGGAUUGCGAGGCUGAAACCCGCUGCAUGAAGGCG